GUCUCCUUAGGUCUCUUGUUUUCUUGGUCAUCUUAUCAAUUGCAAUGUUUAGAGGGUCUCCUUUUUCUUUCCUUCCAGUGUUGUGCAAGUACUGGCUGA